rnacentral:lncRNA from 1 species
GGCCACACAUGGGGCAUAUAGAGGUUUCCAGGCUAGGGGUCGAAUCCAAGCUGCAGCUGCUGGCCUAUACCAUAGCCACAGCAACACUGAAUCCAAGCCACGGUCUGUGACCUAUGCCACCUGGCAACAUAGGAUACUUAACCCACUGAGGCAGGCCAGGGUUCAAACCCUCAUCCUCAUACUAGUCAGGUUUGUUACCACUAAGCCACAACAGGAAUUCCCUCAAUUUCCCCAAUUUUAAUUGACUUACACCACAUAUCCAAGUACCAGGCUAGGGAAGACAUGGUAACAAACGCAGAGAUACAAGUCCUGUUUCUUAGACCAGAGCCUAGGGAAGGCACUACAGCUCUCAGGCUGAAUUUCCUCAAUCAGAUGGAUGCUUUUCCUUGCAGCAGCCCAAAUGCCAUCACUUCUGAGGGGAUGCAUCGGACUCUUCCAACGUACAGGCUGAAGGUCCCCUUGCUAUCAGAACCCUUGUCCUUCCUUUCCCCCAAAGGUCAAAGACCUGCCUCCCUCCUUCCAUCCUCACCUUGUUACUCCUUUUAAAAGACUCCCCAUUUUCCAGCAGAGAGCAAAAAACAGCUGAACACUGAGGUCUUGGUCCUUAAAAAAAAAACAAAGUUGCAUUUUGUUUUUGAUCCUCAAGUCUUUUGCUUGGGAUUUCCAAGUAAGUCCUCAACAGAAGAUGUUUACACAUUUAAGGAGAAACAAGGUAUAUCUAUAUGCUUAAAGAAAAAUCGAUAUCUUAGGCAAUAAUAGUACCUUAUAGGAGCUUUCUGGUUCUGUAUGCCAGCCUAAUUUGUGUUUUGGUGGAAUAAAUUUUCACAAUUGAGCAAGUUAAGCAAUAAAGGUUUUUUUAAUCAGUUACCUAAAAAUAGCUCCUUAAUCUUUUCAAAAAGGUUUGUGAACAUAAAAAAUAAUUUAGCUCAUAUGUCAUUAAAAAUUAGCUUACUUCAAGCCAAAAGGAUAAUUAUGGUGAUUGACGAGUAGUAUAAAUACAAGAGUAAAUAGUUCUGUUGAAAAGUUUUUAUUGUUGCAGGGCUAAUGAAAUUGCCAGAAGGCCAAGCAUCAUCGAGUAAUCUGUUUCAGGUUGCCCUCUUUAGACAAAAAUAAAAAGAAUGCAGGUUCUUUUUUCUUUGAUUUUUGCCUGCACAUACCACACAUAAAUAUAGCUAACUGUGUGAGAAAAUAAAGACCGUCUUGGGUGUGGAUUGGGGGACAAUUCUGCAACACCAUUAUAUUGGUUGAAAAUGUAUGGUUACCAAAGGGGACAGGAAGGAGGAUGGGAGGGAUGGACUGGGGGUUUGGGAUUGGCAUAUGCACACUGAGGUAUAUGUAAGGAUUGGCCAACAGGGACCUGCUGCACAGCAGAGAGAAGGCUACCCAAUAUUUGUGAUGAUCUAUGUGGGAAAAGAAUCUAAGAGAGAAUGUAUAUGUGUGUAUGUAUGACUGAAUCACCUUGUUGUACAGGAGAAAUUAUCACAACCUUGCAAAUUAACUAUACUUCAGUAAAACAAAUACUUUGGAAAUUUCUGGAAAUAAUGGAGGUUUAAAAAGGGACAUGAGGAGGAUAUACGGUUUUAGCAGGGUCUUUUAAACUAGUAAGCUUGGUGGAUAACAGAAAGUCAAAAAUGAUGGACCACGGAGUUAGGAGGGUGAAAAAGACAAGGGAAAGAUAUUAUCCAAUUUCCUGAAAAAACAGUACAUCUGAACCUCACCAUUCUUUCAAAGUAACAUAAGGAAUGAUGUUAAAUCACUUCCCCUUUUUGUUUUCAUAAAAGAGAUUUACUCUGCUCUCAAUAAAAGGGCUUGUUUUCUUGUAACUGCUCCAGUUAGAUUUCUCUAUUGUAAUCUGGAAAUCUAUGGCUUUGGGGUACUCUGAACAUGGCUUUUUGUCAUAUGCUCUUUCUGCUGUGUAAUGCUGUGCUACAAAGGAUGUCAUUCCAAUUACUUGCUGGCCCAUCUUUUAAGGCCCUUUAAGGUUAUAGGGCAAAAUCUGCCCAAACAUUCAAUAUAAUGUUAAAGUUGCCAUUUAGAAGUCAAGGUGCAGAACUGUCUUAGACUCAGCGACUCUAGGUUCUAAUGGUUUUUGGUUUAUGCCCACAAUUCCUUCAACUGAAUGCUAAAUUGUGGUCACCUUAAUGAUACUGCUUCAUCCUUAAAGCAAUAAGGAUGGUCAUAAACGAGUUUCAGCCAGUGAGUAUCCCAUAGAUCAAAGUGAUCGCAGAUGAUGCCCAUCAACAUCACUGCCUGAGGCUGCCUCUUUUUACCUAUGCACACAAAGCAGACCUUUUUUGAGGGCUGGUCCUGGCACACUGGGUAAUACCCAUCACCUCUAAUGGUGAGGCUGCCUCAGGCUGCGCCACUGUUUUCAAAAUACAAGCAGUGCUGAAAUCCACUUUACAGUGUGGUGUUUAACUGCUGUUCCUUAAAAACUGCCCAGGCGGUAUCUGCUUGGCUGUGAGUAAAUCAAUGAUGAUCAUAAAAAACAACAAGUUCCAAUCCAGCUAAUCCAAAGGCUUGGAACCUUGCCAUUAUCAAAUGGGGAAGGUACUUUGAGGAUGUGGGUUUCUGUUUUCUUGUUUUUGUUUUUGUUUUUUUUGUUUUUGUUUUUUUUUUAGAUGCCUCUCCAUUACAAAGUCAACAAAGAACAAUUUUUUUUUAAAGCCCCCACUUCCUCCCCAGGAAACAGUGUAUGUUCAGAGAGGAAGCUGUCUUCCUGUUUUCUCCAUACUCGCACUUUUGCAAGGUUUUUGUCUAAGCUUCCAAACUCAGAGUCUCCAUCACAUGGAACAAGCUCUUCUAAACAAUUGGCCACAUUUUACAGCAGGGAAAUAAAAAAAAAAAAAAAAGAAAGUUUUAUUUCCCACAAAACAUGAAAAAGUAUUAUUAGCCUAAAUUGUCAUUGACUAUAUAUUCUUAAAUUCCAUAUUCCACCCCAAUCUCCAUCUCAUUCGAUGUAUACUGAGGGCACUAAAUUGUGGUUAUUCUGUCAAAAUUCUUUGCAAAAUGCAUCAACUCUUAGAAUCCCAAUGACAAAAGAAACUUGACAGGGCACCUGCUUUUUAUUAUUUUUGUAUUUUGUGAUACAAACCCGGUGUGCCUGGCACCCAAGAAUAAAGUAUAAUUCAAGAACGUUUUGUACAUUCUGCUCUAAAAUUUUAGCAUUUCAACAAUGAUUUCUGGAGCUAUUAAAAAGAACCAUUUGGAAAUAAAGCCAUUGCCCCCUUUUUUUCUGAGUUUUUAAAAUCAGUUAAGGAGCUUUUAUUUCACCCAGUGAUACUGAAGCAAUAAAUUCUCAGAUAAACCAGAGAAUUAAGGCAGGGCUCGAUUGAGAGGAUAUUUUCAGUGAGAUGAAUUUUGAGUUUGGUAACUUUUCAGUUUAUCUCUUUUACUCUUGCUUUUACAUCCCCAGUUUGUGAAUUCAUCAAGUCAAGGUUUUCAGUGUUGUCCAGAAGAUCGUCUAAAUCCAAAUCAUCAAAGUGCUUGUUAAAAUGCAGAUUCUUGACUCUCGGCCAGAUCUAAGACAUCAGAAUUGGGCCUGGGAAUCUGCAUUGUUGCAGCUGCCCAGUUUGACUACUUAAGGGUGUGAUAAAGACAUAAGGGCUUAUCUCUCUCAGGGGUAUUUACUUGUUAAUAGCAACCAAAGACUUGAAAACCUUUAAAAUCUAUAACUUUUUUCUCCUUAGGGGCCAGAUUUUUUUUUUUUUUUUUUUUUUUUUGGCUGUGCCCAUGGCAUGUGGAAGUUCCCAGGCCAGGAAUUGAAUCUGCACCACAGCAGCGACCCAAGCCACUGCAGUGACAACACAGGAUCCUUAACCUGGUGCAUUGCAAAAGAACUCCUGUGGGCAAAAUCUUUGGGGGCAAGAAAAACUUUUUCCAUGCCCCACAAACCUUAUACUAAGGGCAUCUUCAUUUACCAUUCACAAAUCUAACUAUUGAGAUCAAGUAUCAAGAAAAAAAUAAUUUGCAUUCUUUACUGGCAGCCUAUAUAGCAGACUGUGAUGGGUAAAUAUUCUGAGAGUGAUUAACCUGGGAAAAAGCAUUAUAAAAUCUGAAGGCUCUUUUACUUGUGAUUAUUUUGAGUACAUUUACACUUCAACAGUACCCACAAAACUUACUAUUAGUUUUUAAAUUACCCUCCACAUUAUGUAACAGAACCACAGUAUUUUAAGAAUAUAUCAAUUCCUGAUAACUGUCCAGUUUGAAAGAAAUAAUUCUUCUUAUAUUUCUAGCUCCAAGAAAUACCAACAAGCAUACUUUAUAGUAAAUGUUCAAGACUUUACUAGAAAAGCAGAUUUUAAAGCAAACUGAUGGGUCAGAUUUAGACAACCAAUAGUUAACUACACCUAACUUUGAUGAUUCUCAAUGCUGACUAAAGCAUGUACCAAAUGCCUUAUUGUUUUAGAUGCAUCAAAACAAUUUAUACAAAUUUAUCAAAUGAUUUAUCAAUUAUUUAUAAAUUAAUACAGCGUCAAGACGAUUAAAAGGCAUUCAUUCACUUAACACAGACCGACCAUUUAGACUUAUAAUGAAAUAGCUCUAAAACAGGGUGUUUGUUGUGUCCACCUACAAGCCAUUCAGCCUUUUUAAGACUCAAUUUACUCACCUGUAUCAGCAGUAGUGAAAGGAACUGAGUCAAAGGGAUAUUGGGAGGAUUAAGUGAUAAAUGUACUUAGCACAGCCUCUACAGUAAGUGCCCAAUAAAUGUCCAUUAUUAUAAUUAUUUUCCUUGCUUUUUUAUCUCCAGGCACCAUGUUAGACAAUACGACAAACCAGAAUACUGUUAUAAAACCAGCAUAUCAUUCAACUCCUAACACUAUCUUGUACACUGCAGCAUGUCAAUAUAAUUGGCUUCUUCUUUUUCUUUUUUUUUCUUUUUUUUUUGUAUUUUUAGGGCCGCAGCUGCUGCAUGUGGAAGUUCCCAGGCUAGGAGCUGAAUUGGAACUACAGCCGCUGGUCACCACAGCCACAGCAAUGCCAGAUCCUCAAACCCACUGAGCGAGGCCAGGGACCGAACCCAUGUCCUCAUGGAUACUAGUCAAGUUCGUUACUGCUGAGUCAAGACAGGAACUCCUGGCUUCAUUGUUUUGAAAUUCUUUUGUCUCUUCUUUUCCUAUGAUUCAUAUAUGCACUGCUUCCUCAAACCACAUGUUACACUGACUUCAUUCUGCCCAUUUAUUAGAACAUCUUUACAUUCAGAUUCCUCAUCUUUGGAUCUAAUAAUCAGAAAUUAGAGGGUCAGAUUGGCUUAAGCAUAAUGAUUACUUUUUUAAACAAUUUAGGUAAAUUAAAGUUAAACUUUAGAGAGAUCUCAAACUUGUUGAAAACCAUAAGGGUACAGAAAUAUUCUGAAAUCUUAACUCUAAACUCUUGAUAUCUUGAUGUGAUACUAAAACCACCUGUGAAGCCUCUUUCUGUAAUU